rnacentral:sRNA from 1 species
CCGCAACAUUAAAUUUACCGCCUCCUCCAGUCGCCGGUCAGGUCGAAGGCAGGUCGCGUCCUGCAGUCGCCGGUCAGGUCGUCUCCUCCAGUCGCCAGUCAGUCAC